GAUGAACGCUGGCGGUAUGCUUAACACAUGCAAGUCGAACGGGAGACUUCGGUCUCUAGUGGCGGACGGGUGAGUAACGCGUGAGAAUCUGCCUUUAGGACGGGGACAACAGUUGGAGACGGCUGCUAAAACCCGAUGUGCCCUUCGGGGUGAAAUAUUUAUAGCCUGAAGAUGAGCUCGCGUCUGAUUAGCUAGUUGGUGCGGUAAUGGCGUACCAAGGCGACGAUCAGUAACUGGUCUGAGAGGGUGACCAGUCACACUGGGACUGAGACACGGCCCAGACUCCUACGGGAGGCAGCAGUGGGGAAUUUUCCGCAAUGGGCGCAAGCCUGACGGAGCAAUACCGCGUGAGGGAGGAAGGCUCUUGGGUCGUAAACCUCUUUUAUCAGGGAAGAACACAAUGACGGUACCUGAUGAAUCAGCAUCGGCUAACUCCGUGCCAGCAGCCGCGGUAAUACGGAGGAUGCAAGCGUUAUCCGGAAUUAUUGGGCGUAAAGCGUCCGCAGGUGGUUAUGAAAGUUUGCUGUCAAAGCGCGAGGCUCAACUUCGUAUCGGCGGUGAAAACUUCAAGACUAGAGCUAGGUAGGGGUCACGGGAAUUCCCAGUGUAGCGGUGAAAUGCGUAGAUAUUGGGAAGAACACCAGCGGCGAAAGCGCGUGACUGGGCCUGAGCUGACACUCAUGGACGAAAGCUAGGGGAGCGAAAGGGAUUAGAUACCCCUGUAGUCCUAGCCGUAAACGAUGACAACUAGGUGUUGCCCG
rnacentral:rRNA from 1 species